rnacentral:rRNA from 1 species
UGCGUAGGUGGAUAAUUAAGUCAGAGGUGAAAUCCUGCAGCUCAACUGUAGAAUUGCCUUUGAAACUGGUUAUCUUGAGUUAUUAUGAAGUAGUUAGAAUAUGUAGUGUAGCGGUGAAAUGCAUAGAUAUUACAUAGAAUACCAAUUGCGAAGGCAGAUUACUAAUAAUCAACUGACACUGAUGGACGAAAGCGUGGGGAGCGAACAGGAUUAGAUACCCUGGUAGUCC